rnacentral:rRNA from 1 species
GACGAACGCUGGCGGCGUGCCUAACACAUGCAAGUCGAACGGGGUAGUUCCUACGGGGACUACUUAGUGGCGAACGGGUGAGUAACGCGUGAGAAACCUGCCUUUCAGUGGGGGACAACAGUUGGAAACGACUGCUAAUACCGCAUAAUGUUAUUUGAGGGCAUCCUCGAAUAACAAAAGCUUUAUGUGCUGAAAGAUGGUCUCGCGUCUGGUUAGCUAGAUGGCGGGGUAACGGCCCACCAUGGCGACGAUCAGUAGCCGGUCUGAGAGGAUGACCGGCCACAUUGGGACUGAGAUACGGCGCAGACUCCUACGGGAGGCAGCAGUGGGGAAUAUUGGGCAAUGGGGGAAACCCUGACCCAGCAACGCCGCGGGAAGGAAGAAGGCCUUCGGGUUGUAAACUUCUUUUACCAGGGACGAAGAACGUGAAGGCACCUGGAGAAAAAGCAACGGCUAACUACGUGCCAGCCGCCGCGGUAACAC